CUUACACGAUCGUCACUGAUACCCAGGCCAAACGAAAGGGUUAGAGCCUGUGGGAUACCGACAGCAACAGAGAAGGGAAGAAAUCAAAUGGACCAGCAACCAUCCAGAUUCAGCGAGCCAAGUAACCAGAACUUAGAACUCUUCCAAAGAUAAAUAAAGCAUCAAUAACCUAAUCGUUUGAAAGACAACCCUCCAUGGUUGCACAGAGGAGGCAGAUCAUCGACACCUAUGUAAAUUCAAUGGCUGCAGCUAAUAAGGAGUGUGAUGUUGGGGAAGAAGAGGAGCGCAAUGUGAUCGGUUGCAGUGACGCAGACCACGAAGGCAGCAGCAACAGAAGCCAUAUAUAAAGGAGAUGAGUUGUAUCCCCAUGUUUUCAACUCAUGGAUGCAUUUAUGUGCUGUACCUGUAUUUCCUGAGAGCAUUCUGAGAUAUGGUCUAUGACCAUCUUGCUUGCCAAGAGUAACUGCCUUCAAUGAUGACCUCUUAUCUCAUUAUUUCAUCUAUCACAGAGAGGAACUUGAGGUCAUUUUAGUGCUUCUAUUUUCCCUGCUUCUGCUCACUUCUUUUUGUUUCUUUGAAUUUUUAAUUCAUUUUUUUGCUUUUAAGUUUAAAAUUAUUUUUAUAUGGUAUUUGAUCUUGGGGAUAGAAUUAUAAUCUCUAUUUGUGACUUGAUUUUUUAUUUCUUUUUUGCUUUUGUGACAUUGAGAAAAGAGAAAUUGACAUAAAUAACAAAGCAUUUUUUGUUUUAGCAUUUUUGUAGUCACUGAUGAGGAAGUAUUUUGGAUGUUUUAAUGUAUGUAUCUAUAACUGACAG